GUCGGGAUAGCUCAGUUGGGAGAGUACGUCGCCAUCUUCUGUGGGCAUCUGAGCAACAGUUGCUAACACAUCUCUAGGCGCCAGACUGAAGUCUACUUCGGUUCUCGCUAUCUGGAGGUCAUGUGUUCAAUCCACAUUCACGACA